rnacentral:rRNA from 1 species
UGGGGAAUUUUGGACAAUGGGGCAACCCUGAUCCAGCAAUGCCGCGUGUGUGAAGAAGGCCUUCGGGUUGUAAAGCACUUUUGUCCGGAAAGAAAACGCCGUGGUUAAUACCCGUGGCGGAUGACGGUACCGGAAGAAUAAGCACCGGCUAACUACGUGCCAGCAGCCGCGGUAAUACGUAGGGUGCAAGCGUUAAUCGGAAUUACUGGGCGUAAAGCGUGCGCAGGCGGUCCGCUAAGACAGAUGUGAAAUCCCCGGGCUUAACCUGGGAACUGCAUUUGUGACUGGCGGGCUAGAGUAUGGCAGAGGGGGGUAGAAUUCCACGUGUAGCAGUGAAAUGCGUAGAGAUGUGGAGGAAUACCGAUGGCGAAGGCAGCCCCCUGGGCCAAUACUGACGCUCAUGCACGAAAGCGUGGGGAGCAAACAGGAUUCAGAUACCCUGGUAGUCCACGCCCUAAACGAUGUCAACUAGUUGUUGGGGGAUUUCAUUUUCCUUAGUAACGUAGCUGAAACCGUGAAGUUGACCGCCUGGGGAGUAA